AUCACUUCUCAGCCUUUUGGCUAAAAGAUCAAGUGUAGUAUCCGUUCUUAUUAGUUUAAAAGCCAGGAAAGCUGGGUUUAUGUUUUCCUGCAUCUAGAAUACUCUGGCUAAAGCAAGCUUUAUGUGGAUCUAUACAAUAACACUACAUUUAUUCAUAUAAAGUAUAUGAAGCUUCA
rnacentral:snRNA from 1 species